CGAUGAUCCAUCUGCAGGUUCACCUACAGAUACCUUGUUACGACUUUUACCCGGUUCAAGCCAUUGCGAUUGAACUGUUUCCCGCCAUAACGCGACCCGAAGGCCUCGAUACAGCAGUCCGCAGUCCUCUCGAGACAGCUCAGUCCCGGACAGCGACGGGCGGUGUGUACAAAUGGCAGGGACGUAAUCAGCGUGAGCUGAUGACUCACACUUACUAGGAAUUCCUCGUUCAAGGGAAAUAAUUACAAUUCCCUAUCCCGGUCACGGAAGAGUUUCAACGGUUUACCAAUGCCUUUCGGCAAUGGAUAGGCCAGCUGAUUCUUCCAUUGUAGCGCGCGUGCAGCCCCGGACAUCUAAGGGCAUCACAGACCUGUUAUCGCUCAAUCUCGUGCGGCUAAACACCGCUUAUCCCUCUAAGAAGUAGACUGGACGUAAAAAUCCAGCCACUAUUUAGCAGGCUAGAGUCUCGCUCGUUAUCGGAAUAAACCAGACAAAUCGCUCCACCAACUAAGAACGGCCAUGCACCACCAACCACCAAAUCGAGAAAGAGCUUUCAAUCUGUCAAUCCUUACGGUCUCCGGGCAGGGUGAGUUUUUUCGUUGAGUCAAAUUAAGCCGCAGGCUCCACUCCUGGUGGUGCCAUUCCAUCAAUUUCUUCAAGUUUCAGCUUUGCAACCUCCGACCUUCGAACCUCUGACUUUCGUUCUUGAUUAAUGAAGACAUUCUUGGCAAAUGCUUUCGCUUUCCCCCUGCGGUCCACGAAUUCCACCCUCUCGCGCAGGAAUACGAAUGCCCCCAAAUUGUCCCUCUUAACCAUUAUUUCAGUUCCUAAACCAACAAAUAGAACUGAAAUCCUCUUUUAUUAUUCCAUGAUCGAGCAUUCAAGCAAACACUUGUUCUAAGCACUCUAAUUUAUUCAAAGUAAACUCGCUAGCCACUAAAGAAGCCAAAACUUCAGUAGAAAACCAGCAAAUAGUCGCAACAGCGAUUAACGCCAGAGGCGAACCACUGAGAUGACUGAGAUCCAACUACGAGCUUUUUAAACGCAGCAACCGCAGUUCCAUAGGAAUGGUCUUUCUAUUUUUAGUCACCAUCUCAUCUCUUCAAGAGUGGAUAAGUUACGCGCCUGCUGCCUUCCUUGGAUGUGGUAGCCGUUUCUAAGGCUCCCUCUCCGGAGUCGAACCCUUAGUCUGCAUUGCCCGUAAUAACCAUGGUAGACUAAUAGACUACCAUCAGGUUGAUAGAGCAGAAACUUUUCCGGAAUGUCAGCGGACAAGCCGCCCAUAUGCAGCGUCAUUUGGAAUCAGCAAACUACACCCGAAGGUGAUUGAUUUGCUCUAAUAACUGCACCCUUUCGAAAGUCAGGGUUUAUUCGCAUGUAUUAGCUCCAGAAUUGCCACAGUUAUCCAAAGGACUUUCCGAAUAAGUGACAUCUGCUCUGAAGAGCCGUUUGCAGUCUCUUUUUUCUCACCAACAAACGACCGAGAAAAGUAAAUUCCCACAGGACGACACCAGUU
rnacentral:rRNA from 1 species